GAGGGUAUAGCUCAGUGGUAGAGUAUGUGCUUAAGCAAGCACAAGGUCCUGGGUUCAAUCCUCAGUGCCUCCC
rnacentral:tRNA from 1 species